GAUCCAUACCAACCUGAACACACCCAAUCUCGUCUGAUCUUGGAAGCUAAGCAGGGUCGGGCCUGGUUAGUACUUGGAUAGGAGAACACUCAAUAUCC
rnacentral:rRNA from 1 species